rnacentral:rRNA from 1 species
UGCAUGAAUAACUACUGCAAACGGUAGCUAAUACCGCAUAACGUCGCAAGUCCAAAGAGGGGGACCUUCGGGCCUCUUGCCAUCGGAUGUGCCCAGAUGGGAUUAGCUAGUAGGUGGGGUAACGGCUCACCUAGGCGACGAUCCCUAGCUGGUCUGAGAGGAUGACCAGCCACACUGGAACUGAGACACGGUCCAGACUCCUACGGGAGGCAGCAGUGGGGAAUAUUGCACAAUGGGCGCAAGCCUGAUGCAGCCAUGCCGCGUGUAUGAAGAAGGCCUUCGGGUUGUAAAGUACUUUCAGCGGGGAGGAAGGGAGUAAAGUUAAUACCUUUGCUCAUUGACGUUACCCGCAGAAGAAGCACCGGCUAACUCCGUGCCAGCAGCCGCGGUAAUACGGAGGGUGCAAGCGUUAAUCGGAAUUACUGGGCGUAAAGCGCACGCAGGCGGUUUGUUAAGUCAGAUGUGAAAUCCCCGGGCUCAACCUGGGAACUGCAUCUGAUACUGGCAAGCUUGAGUCUCGUAGAGGGGGGUAGAAUUCCAGGUGUAGCGGUGAAAUGCGUAGAGAUCUGGAGGAAUACCGGUGGCGAAGGCGGCCCCCUGGACGAAGACUGACGCUCAGGUGCGAAAGCGUGGGGAGCAAACAGG